UUGAGAUUUCCUUUCUAUGUACAUUGUAACUCCGUGACGAAGCAUGCGGCGUGAGGGAAGCAUCUUUUCAAAGCGUCGUAUUCGUUCACUGUUGUGUGUCGCUUUAGAGCAACGUGAUCAGUGGUUUGUAGACGUGAUGACGUCAGACUUCGAGGCACAAGCCGAGAGCGCGUUUAAAGCCGAGUAGGGCGUGAAAGUGUGUGUCGUGCCGCUCGUUUUCCUCCUAGUUCUUUUAAUCUAUUCCAUCCACGAAUAUGUGCAAAUAGCAGCGUGUGCCUCCGUAAAGUUACGGGACAAUUAUGUUCGGUGCUGUUUUAAUGUGAUUGAUAGUGAAAAGGAUACCAUGUUCCGCUGCAUUCCGAUUUUUAAAGGGUGUAACAGGCAGGUGGAAUACGUUGACAAGCGUCAUUGCUCUCUGGUGAGCGUCCCCGAUGAUAUUUUACGAUAUUCGAGAAGCUUGGAGGAACUUCUGUUGGACGCGAAUCACAUCAGUGAUCUACCGAAGAAUUUCUUCCGGUUACAAAGGCUACGAAAACUCGGCUUGAGUGACAAUGACAUUCAUCGCUUGCCACCAGAUAUUCAGAACUUCGAAAACCUCGUGGAGUUGGAUGUAUCCAGGAAUGAUAUACCAGACAUUCCUGAGAACAUCAAGAAUUUACGGGCACUUCAGGUGGCGGACUUUAGUAGUAAUCCAAUUCCAAGGCUCCCAGCAGGUUUUGUGCAGCUAAGGAACUUGACUGUUCUCGGACUGAACGAUAUGUCCCUCACGAAUCUACCACCUGAUUUCGGAAGUUUAGAGGCAUUGCAGUCGUUGGAGUUGAGAGAAAAUUUGCUCAAAACCUUGCCGGAAUCGCUGUCGAAACUUUAUAAAUUAGAGCGGUUGGAUCUCGGUGACAAUGACAUCGAUGUUCUGCCAGCACACAUAGGGAAAUUACCAGCAUUGCAGGAAUUGUGGUUGGAUCAUAAUCAGCUGCAACAUUUACCACCUGAACUUGGGCAACUGAAAACGUUGGCGUGUUUAGAUGUCUCGGAGAAUCGUUUAGAAGAUCUUCCGGAAGAGAUCGGAGGUUUAGAAUCCUUAACGGACUUACACUUAUCGCAGAAUGUUAUCGAAAAAUUGCCUGAUGGACUUGGAGAACUUAAAAAACUGACCAUUCUUAAAGUUGAUCAGAAUAGGCUUUCUACAUUAAAUCCAAAUAUAGGCAGUUGUGAAAAUCUUCAGGAAUUAAUUCUCACGGAAAAUUUUCUCUUCGAACUGCCUUCGACUAUAGGAAAACUUCUUAAUUUAAAUAAUUUAAACGUAGACAGAAAUAGUUUACAAUCGCUUCCUACAGAGAUUGGGAAUUUAAAACAGUUGGGUGUACUAUCUCUAAGAGAUAACAAAUUGCAAUAUCUUCCAGUUGAAGUUGGGCAAUGUACUGCCCUCCAUGUGUUAGAUGUAUCUGGCAACAGAUUACAGUACUUGCCAUAUUCCUUGAUCAAUUUGAACUUAAAGGCAGUAUGGUUAAGUGAAAAUCAAGCACAACCAAUGCUUAUUUUCCAAACAGAUAUCGACGAAGAAACUGGACAAGAAGUAUUAACAUGUUUCCUCCUGCCACAAUUAGAAAUCCAUCCUGAUGAUUCGGGAAGACUUGGUAUGCUAGUUGGUAUGAGAAAUGCUGUCCAAGGUGAAGUACGUGAAGCAGGUAGCAGUGAGGAUGAAGAAUGGCAAGAAAAAGAAGCAUCACGAACGCACUCUGUUAAAUUUACAGACGAACCUCCAGAAACUGAUAAGGAGACACCAUUUGUACGACAAAAUACUCCUCAUCCUAAAGAGUUGAAAGCGAAAGCUCAUAAAUUAUUCAGUAAAGGAAAGAAUGACAGCCGAUCAGCGUCUACGGAAGAACAGGAUGUUUCUCAAACAUUUGGUUUAGAUAAAACUGAGACUGAUAUCGUAACAAAAUCUAGUGAUACAGUAGAAGAUUCUACAGAAUUAGAACCAGAGAAACCUGAGUCUGUAGAAAAUGAACAAACACAAAUUGUACCUGGAACAUUGACUAAUAAUACAGAUCUCCAGUCUAGUAAUGAACCAGAAGUAGUUUGUAAUCAAUACGUUGCAGAACCUAGUGCUGAGGUCAGAACUGAUGGUUCAGUUACUGAAUCAAAGGAAAAGAGUGAAAAGGAGGAUGAUGAAUCGGAAAGCGAGGAAACUCAAAGACACGUAGAAUUUUCUAUAACAGAGGGUACUGAUUAUGAGGGUGGUGGCGAUUCAAAUAGACCAAAUAGGCUUCAUCGUAGAGACACUCCACAUCAUUUGAAAAAUAAACGUAUCCAUACAGCAGUGGACAAAGAAAAAGUUGCUUCCAUUAUUGCCCAAGCACUUAUGAAAAAAACUGAUGACACUCCCGCACCCACGUCAGCGCCCACAGAACCCACGGAAAAUUUUGACACCCAAAGUCAAGGCGCCACAUCCGACGCUGAACCAACAAUAGAAGUACGAGAAGAACAAUAUGAAAUUCAUAUCGAAAGAACGACAGGCGGACUUGGUUUGUCGAUCGCUGGUGGAAUCGGUUCAACCCCUUUUAAGGGGGACGAUGAAGGCAUUUUUAUUUCUAGAGUUACUGAAGGCGGACCUGCAGAUUUGGCUGGUUUAAAAGUGGAAGAUAAAGUACUGUCCGUGAACGGUGUUUCGGUAGUAAAUGUAGGUCAUUACGAUGCCGUAGAAGUUUUGAAAGCAUGUGGGCGUGUUCUUGUGUUAGUAGUUCAAAGAGAAGUUACGAGGAUAGUACCGCCGUAUGAACAGGGAUCAUCUAGAAAAGAUUCGGCAUGCUCCAGUCUCAGUACCAGUAGAGCACCGAGUGCAACGUCUCAUGUUUCAUCCACGGGUUUACCGCAUAAUUUAGAAAACGGAGAUGCUUUACCUCAGGACACUAUUAAGCCCAAGAAAAUUCCAGAACCUAUAUCCUCGACAAAGGCAGGGAGUGAACCAAUGGUAUCUGUUCUUGUUCAUACAACAUUAAUACGGGACCAAAAUGGGCUUGGAUUUAGUAUCGCUGGUGGAGAAGGCUCUCCUCCAUUUAAAGACAAUAGUGAUGCGAUAUACAUUUCAAGGAUAACUGAUGGUGGUGUGGCACAGAAAGAUGGUAAAUUAUUAGUUGGGGACAAAGUAAUAUCUAUUAAUGGUGUAGAAAUGAGAGGUGCUAAGCACGAACAAGCAGUUGCCUUGUUAACAGGCUUGGAAAGAUUCGUUCGAUUGGUAGUCGAACGUGAUAUUCCACUUUCCCAAGCAAACGCAGCCACGGUUGUAACACCUUCAGAAAAGUCACCGCGUGUUAUUGGUGCACCUAAACCAUACACAGGGCUAUAUAAUGCCAAUAGUUACAUUGCAAAUAGGCCAGGAUAUACUAGCUAUCGACGCUCCGUCGAUGCUGAUAGAACUUUAUCCCCGAGUCCUACUUCAAAAACACCUCCGCCCAUGAAAAUUGAAACCACUGAGAUGACUAAAAUGAACGGCGUUACAGAAACAGGAAGUGUUAAAAAUGUCUCAUCGAUAUCGCCAAGUCCGACAAAUAGUCAACCUCAUCCACAACCUGCUCCGAGGCAUAGUAUUUCGCAGCCGACGAUUACACCCACGACAACUGCAAGCUCGACGCCUACCUCUUCUACAGAGCCUAGGUCGACCUCACCCCAGGAAGAUAUACAGGUACCGAAGCCUAUCACCAACGAGGAAUUUCAGGCUAUGAUCCCUGCUCAUUUCCUCCGUCCUACCUCCUCACCAUCGCCAGACCCCCAUCAAGGCCCUAUCGUGACAGUGACAAUAAAACAGCCUGAUAAUCUACCUGGGGAUGUUAAUUUUCCUCCGGCCCCUACUACUCUUGGUAAAGUUACUGAGACCAUCACAAAGAGCACUCUCACCGAGACCGUCGUAACUAGGGUGACCGAAAAUCAAUUGGUACCACCAGUAAUCAUUGAGGAUGUAGUUCUUGUGAAAGAAGGAUCAUUAGGAUUCAGUAUUAUUGGUGGUACAGAUCAUUCUUGUACACCAUUUGGUGCAAAAGAACCAGGAAUUUUCAUAUCACAUGUUGUGCCUGGUGGUAUAGCUGCAAAGUCUGGUAAAUUAAGGAUGGGUGACAGAAUACUGAAGGUAAAUGGUACUGAUGUAACGAAAGCUACUCAUCAAGAAGCUGUAAUGGAACUUUUACGACCAGGAGAUCAAAUUGUGCUUACUGUUCAACAUGAUCCAUUACCAGAAAAUUAUCAGCUGGUCGAAAUAGAGUACAUCCCUGUGACAGAAUUGGUUAUAACGAAAGAACCAGGUGAAAAAUUGGGAAUGCACAUAAAGGGUGGACUUCGAGGACAAAAGGGUAAUCCCCUUGAUCAUACGGACGAAGGAGUUUUUAUAUCUAAAAUAAAUUCUGGCGGUGCGGCUAAAAGAGACGGAAGACUGAAGGUUGGAAUGAGACUCUUGGAAGUCAAUGGCACAUCAUUACUAGGUGCAACUCACCAAGAAGCAGUAAAUAUACUGAGGUGUUCAGGAAACACAAUUACCUUAGUAGUUUGUAAAGGUUAUGAUAAAAACGAGGUUGAACCAAUAUUCCCCGUAUCCGACGGAAGGGAUUCUAAAGAAUCUAGAACAUCUAAGGAAUUCAAAGAUCCUGCAGCCGAUGGUACUAAAUCUUUAUCGCAAAGUGUAUCCAGUUUAGAUCGUGACGACGAAGAAGCAGCAACGCUCAGACAAGAGCAGGAAAUGAAAGCCGAGCUUGUAGCAUGGGAACAAGAAGAAAGGGAGCGUGCUUUGUUAGAACACAGAGAAAAGUCUACUCCUGAAAAAGUAUUAGAUGUAGUAAGAGCAGCCGAAUCAUUAGUAAGCAAGUCGAAUAGUCCCGUCGACAUGGUUCCACCAAAAUCACCAGGUGGCACUAAAGAUCUCAAAACGACUACCAUUGUAAUGAGCAAACACACUUUAGCACCUCAGAAUACAAAUUCACUAAGGAAAGAGAGAGCUGUUACACCAGUGGACAAUCCGUCGCUUCAGUCUCCGGUCUCUACUCUUACUCCAUCAAAGAAUUUCGAUCGUAAUACUACUGUUCAAACCUUGCCCUCUCCGAGGAAAAAAAGUUCUGCACCAAAGCGUAGCAUUACGUUCGCCGAUCUUCCUCCCAUUUCCAAAGAAGAAUCAACUAAUUAUCCCUAUUCGCCUAAAAUUAAAGAAGAACGGCCAUCAUCCUUGCAUGACAAAUUUACUUCAGAUCCACACAUUUUUUCUUAUAAGAAAGUUUAUCAAAGUCCUACCCAGACUGUUCAUUCUCGUUUCAAACUUCCUCCAACGCCUUUAACUUCUCCUAAGUCCAUAGAAGAUCUUGGCACUUCGGCUUCUUUUAGCAAACGACAGAACGCACGCUCUGUUGAUGGGAAUAUUCAGGUUGAGUCUUCGCCAACACCAUCACCACCUCCACCUGUAGUAAAGAUGUCUGUUAGCGACAAAAAGAAGUUAUUUGAAAGUGCCAUGGAAGAGCAUCUGAAACCUUCACCUAAACCAGAAAAAGUAUUCAGUUUUCUAAGUCAGGAUGAAGUGGAAAAAAUGAAGCAAGAAGAAGAAAAAAAGAUUGCCACAUUAACGCGAGAUGAAUUAAAAUCAUGGGCUCAACUCGAUGAAAAUGAAGGUUUAGAAGAUUUGGAGGAAACGCUAGAAGAUCAGGAUAACCGGCGACCUAAUAGCCGACUGAGCUCGCGAAGUUCGAUCCCCCUUCUGCAGAACCUUCCAAGCAGUGUAAGGACAGCAAAAGCAGAACGUCGCUUGAAGGAGAGACUGGUACAGGAGGGUAUAAUUUCGGACGAAGACGAAGAAAGCCAUUUAAGUCCUGCCGAACAGAGAGCUUUAAGAGCAGAGAAACGUGCAGCUUGGAGACAAGCGCGUUUGAAGUCUCUUGAACAGGAUGCUCUUCAAGCGCAGAUAGUAAUAAAAAAAAUGAGCGAAAUGAUGGAUACUGCGAAUAAAACAGACGCACCGCAAGAUUCUACAGAUUCCGUCACUCCUGUUCCUGAACCAGAAAAGACGGCUGAUUUUACUACGUUACGGCCGUCUAGUGCAGAUUUUCCCAAACUUGCUGUACGCAGCAAAGUGGGUCCCCCUAAAGAGAUCCGCGAAUCCGAAAAAGUAGUGGACGAGAAGGUCACUCGGCGUACCGAGGAAUAUGUGGAUGAGGUGACGGGUGAACGUCGUGUACGAACAGUUGAAUACGUCGAGAAGCUCAUUGAGCGGCAGAAUCCAACACUGAUCAUGGAAGUGCAACCUGCACCACCUUGAGCAAUUGAUUUCAUUUCCACUGACCACUAACAAACUCUUCUCACACUAUUGGUUGAAACUCUGCGAGAAAAGAUUAUAUCACUGGAAUUAAGUAAUGCUGAAGACGAUGUAGAAAGUAUUACUGGCACUGGAGCAAGCGACGC
rnacentral:misc_RNA from 1 species